GUAGCCCAGUGGGCUGAUGAACUGUUGAUGUUGUGGUUGUUUUAUGAACAUGGGUCCUGAUAUUCACUCUGUAGCCCAGUGGGCUGAUGAACUGUUGAUCUUGUGGUUGUUGUUGUUUUUAGGCCGCCGACUCGACGCCAGGGUUAGACCUCCCAGCUUCUGUAGAUGAUAUCAUGAACCGUUGGAUCCUCCAGAUGGGCUUUCCAGUGGUUACCAUUGAUACGGCCACAGGAAGCAUCAACCAGAGACACUUCCUGCUGGACCCUGACUUUGUAGUGGACAGACCCUCUCCUUUCAAGUAUGAAUGGAUUGUUCCUAUAAAGUGGAUGAAGAAUGGAAAAGAUCAGACUCCAUACUGGUUACAGAC